GGUCAUAUCAGGUUGAAACACCGGUUCUUAUACAAUCACCGAAGUUAAGCAACGUCAAGCGUGGUCAGUGGUUAGAUGGGUGACCGCUUCGGAAUAGCAAGUGAUGUAAG